rnacentral:pre_miRNA from 1 species
UGGUUGUGCACGUUUGCAGUCCUAGAYUGAAUCCCAAGGAUAUCAGGUUGAUUUUUGAACUUUAUCUUAGAGAGAGAUUGAGAGAGUUGAAAAAAAAUGGGCUAGUUAGUCUUUUUGUUUCGGACAUCAGGAAUAUUUUUAGAAUAUUUUAAGGAUAUUCUUGAUGUCCGAACAAAAAGACUAAUCAGCCCAUUUUUUCCCACUCUCUCAAUCUCUCUAAAAAACAAAGUUCUAAAAUCGACCCGAUAUCCUUGGGAUUCAGUCUAGGACUUCAACCUUGCAUAGCCAUAUUGCCAAUCAU